GACGAACGCUGGCGGCGUGCUUAACACAUGCAAGUCGAACGGAAAGGCCCUGCUUUUGUGGGGUGCUCGAGUGGCGAACGGGUGAGUAACACGUGAGUAACCUGCCCUUGACUUUGGGAUAACUUCAGGAAACUGGGGCUAAUACCGGAUAGGAGCUCCUGCUGCAUGGUGGUGGUUGGAAAGUUUCGGCGGUUGGGGAUGGACUCGCGGCUUAUCAGCUUGUUGGUGGGGUAGUGGCUUACCAAGGCUUUGACGGGUAGCCGGCCUGAGAGGGUGACCGGCCAAAAGGGGACUGAGAUAAGGACCAGACUCCUACGGGAGGCAGCAGUGGGGAAUAUUGCACAAUGGGCGGAAGCCUGAUGAAGAAACGCCGCGUGCGGGAUGACGGCCUUCGGGUUGUAAACCGCUUUCGCCUGUGACGAAGCGUGAGUGACGGUAAUGGGUAAAGAAGCACCGGCUAACUACGUG
rnacentral:rRNA from 1 species